rnacentral:rRNA from 1 species
GACGAACGCUGGCGGCGUGCUUAACACAUGCAAGUCGAACGGAAAGGCCCUGCUUUUGUGGGGUGCUCGAGUGGCGAACGGGUGAGUAACACGUGAGUACCUGCCCUUGACUUUUGGAUAACUUCAGGAAACUGGGGCUAAUACCCGAUAGGAGCUCCUGCUUCAUUGUUGGGGGUGGAAAGGUUCGGCGGGUGGGGGUGGACUCGCGGCUUAUCAGCUUGUUUGUGGGGUAGUGGCUUACCAAGGCUUUGACGGGGAGCCGGCCUGGGGGGGUGACCGGCCACAUUGGGACUGAGAUACGGCCCAGACUCCUACGGGAGGCAGCAGUGGGGAAUAUUGCACAAUGGGCGGAAGCCUGAUGCAGCAACGCCGCGUGCGGGAUGACGGCCUUCGGGUUGUAAACCGCUUUCGCCUGUGACGAAGCGUGAGUGACGGUAAUGGGUAAAGAAGCACCGGCUAACUACGUG